GUUACUAACUCUAAUAAAGAAGUUAACUUUUACUCAACUAUGGGAUGGGAAUUAUGUGUAAACUCCCAGCGAGAAACAUUAAACAAUGCUAGAAAUAGUAAUUUAGUUAAGUAAAUUUUAAAAAAUUAUGUGGCAAAUCAGGUGCCAGCAGCCGCGGUCAUACCUGAGCAUAAGUUAACUCCCUUAGAACAGACUAAUGCAAAUCAACUAAAGAAAGCUAGUGAAAUAGGUUCUUUAGAGUCCCUUAACUUGUAUUCAUCGUCUAAACUCUUCAAAUAAACUAGGAUUAGAUACCCUACUAUAAAGGAGCACAAAGAGUCAUCUAAGCACUAAAGCUUUUUUAAGCUAAAACUUAAAGAGCAUGGCGGCAAACUUUAGACUCAGGGGAACUUACCUGGUAAUAGACAACCCACAAGAUUUUCUACUUAAUCUCUCAGUUUGUAUACCGCCGUCUGCAGGGCUUACUUCAGGUAGGCACCAAAAAUGUAUUUAACAAAUAAGACAGGUCAUGGUGCAGCUUAUGAUUGAGUCAGGGCGAGUUACAAUAUUUAACCUUCCAGACCUAAAAAGAAAUUUAAAGAGAAGAUGGACUUGAAAGUAAAUUUAAUAAAAAUUAAAAGUUGAAUCUUACAAAGUUUGUGCACAAAUCGCCCGUCACUCUCGUUGAAAAAGGAGAUAAGUCGUAACACAGUAGAGCUAACGGAAGUUGGCUCU
rnacentral:ncRNA from 1 species